UACGUAGGUGGCAAGCGAUACUCGGAAUCACUAGGCGUAAAGCGCAGGUAGGCGGUUUGAUAAGUCUUUUGUGAAAGCUCCUGGCUUAACUGGGAGAGGUCAAAGGAAACUGUCAGACUAGAGUUUGGUAGGGGAUACUGGAAUUCCUGGUGUAGCGGUGAAAUGCGUAGAUAUCAGGAGGAAUACCUAUGGCGAAAGCAGGUAUCUGGGCCACAACUGACGCUGAGCUGCGAAAGCUAGGGGAGCAAACAGG
rnacentral:rRNA from 1 species